UACAGAGGGUGCGAGCGUUAAUCGGAAUUACUGGGCGUAAAGGGCGCGUAGGUGGUUUAUUAAGAUUGAUGUGAAAUCCCUGGGCUUAACCUAGGAACUGCAUCGAUGACUGGUAAGCUAGAGUACUGUAGAGGGUAGUGGAAUUUCCGGUGUAGCGGUGAAAUGCGUAGAGAUCGGAAGGAACACCAGUGGCGAAGGCGGCUACCUGGACAGAUACUGACACUGAGGCGCGAGAGCGUGGGGAGCAAACAGG
rnacentral:rRNA from 1 species